rnacentral:rRNA from 1 species
GACGAACGCUGGCGGCGUGCUUAACACAUGCAAGUCGAACGGAAAGGCCCUGCUUUUGUGGGGUGCUCGAGUGGCGAACGGGUGAGUAACACGUGUGUAACCUGCCCUUGACUUUGGGAUAACUUCAGGAAACUGGGGCUAAUACCGGAUAGGAGCUCCUGCUGCAUGGUGGGGGUUGGAAAGUUUCGGCGGUUGGGGAUGGUUUCGCGGCUUAUCAGCUGGUUUGGGGGGUAGUGGCUUACCAAGGCUUUGACGGGUAGCCGGCAUGAGAGGGUGACCGGCCACAUUGGGACUGAGAGACGGCCCAGACUCCUACGGGCGGCAGCAGUGGAGAAUAUAGCACAAUGGGCGGAAGCCUGAUGCAGCAACGUCGCGUGCGGGAUGACGUCCUUCGGGUUGUAAACAGCUUUCGACUGUGACGAAGCGUGAGUGACGGUAAUGGGUAAAGAAGCACCGGCUAACUACGUG